GUUAAUCAACCUCUGGAUUACAAAAUUUGUGAAAGAUUGACUGGUAUUCUUAACUAUGUUGCUCCUUUUACGCUAUGUGGAUACGCUGCUUUAAUGCCUUUGUAUCAUGCUAUUGCUUCCCGUAUGGCUUUCAUUUUCUCCUCCUUGUAUAAAUCCUGGUUGCUGUCUCUUUAUGAGGAGUUGUGGCCCGUUGUCAGGCAACGUGGCGUGGUGUGCACUGUGUUUGCUGACGCAACCCCCACUGGUUGGGGCAUUGCCACCACCUGUCAGCUCCUUUCCGGGACUUUCGCUUUCCCCCUCCCUAUUGCCACGGCGGAACUCAUCGCCGCCUGCCUUGCCCGCUGCUGGACAGGGGCUCGGCUGUUGGGCACUGACAAUUCCGUGGUGUUGUCGGGGAAGCUGACGUCCUUUCCAUGGCUGCUCGCCUGUGUUGCCACCUGGAUUCUGCGCGGGACGUCCUUCUGCUACGUCCCUUCGGCCCUCAAUCCAGCGGACCUUCCUUCCCGCGGCCUGCUGCCGGCUCUGCGGCCUCUUCCGCGUCUUCGCCUUCGCCCUCAGACGAGUCGGAUCUCCCUUUGGGCCGCCUCCCCGCCUGUUU
rnacentral:misc_RNA from 2 species